AAGAGUGACUUUUCCUGCUUAACGUUUCUCGGCGCAGAUGUUUACAUCCGGUUUCGGCAGCGAGCGAUUUGUUUUUGUUUUAGUAGAAAGAUUAGUGCAGUUACAACAAACAUCGUGACUUAUUAUACUUUGAACUGCAGCGUAGUUUGAAAAGACCGUUGCAAGAUUUGUUAGUUCUUAGUUGUAAAGUCCUACAGUUUCCGUGUACUACCGUAGUAAAUAACAAACUAAUGCUCGAGGGUUCAAACCUUCUACGAUUUCCUCCUCUUUUAAUUGUUGCAAGUUUUCAAAAACUUGUGAAAGACGUGCUGCAGUUGUCAACAAAUGUAUGUAAUUAGCAUGUUGUGUUUUGCAGGCAGUUCAUCAAUGGAUCUUGUCGCUAUGGUCCGAGCUGUUACUAUCUACACGAGUUUCCUGCAGUACCGUCGUUUCAAGUUCAGUGUAGGUACUUCCAGAAAGGUGGCUGCUGGUUUGGGGACCGUUGCAGGUAUCUCCAUGUUCCUCAAGGGGGUGAAGGUUCUUCAGGGAGCAGCAGACGCGGUUCAGCACCUGCAGUGUUCCCCUCUGCACUGGCAGGCCGUUCUCUGGCUGACCGUCGAGGAUCUGAGCCCUCUCUUCUCCCACCUCAAGGAGCCUACAGCCUGACUCGAAGGGGUUCAGAGCCUCUGGUCACAAGUAUGAACGUGCUGCAGCAGAACUUUGAGCGUUUGACUACAGGCAUUGCAGAGGAGGAAGAGUUCGGGGCUGUGGAAGAUGGACCACCCCAGCAGGGUAUUACUGCUAAUUCAGGCUUUUCUUUGAAACUGUAACUCGCAUUGUCCUUUUAUGAAUUGAAUUGUUGUCCUCUUCAGAUGCAACGAGACCGCUACAACAAAUCAGUGCUACAGACUCCAGUUCUUCAGAUAACUCCAGUUCUGCAGCUUUUGUACCUGGUGCAGCACCUGCCAAAGUAACUAUUUGAAGCUGAAACACUGGUCACCUAACACUACACAUUUCUGUAGCUCCUAGAUGAAGCUGUCUGUUUCAUUGGCCUGGGUUUAAUGAAGUGUUUUUGGAUUAUAGGUGACUGGUUCACCAGAGAGACCAGAUCAGGGUGGCGCUGCAGUAUCGAUGGAGCAGCAGCAUUCAAGGGCCUUUGAUCAAAGCAAAGAUGUGGCCUGUGGCAUCUGCAUGGACAAAAUUUCUGAGAAAUCCACCUCUCAGGAACGGCGUUAUGGCAUCCUACCCA
ensembl:lncRNA